GUUUAGCAGCCACCCUACAUUCCCAGGGAAAGCUUGAGUCUCAUUUUCUCACACAAAAUGGAGGCAUCUGUGCUCUCACAGUGUGGCUAAGGGGACCUGUAGGUAAGUCGUACAAACAGCAGUGUGUGCAGCACGCAGCAGAAACCUAACCACCAGGACCCUGGAAAAAGACAGACAGCAUGGGGAGCCAGGCACCCCCUCUCAGACAGGACACUGACAUAAGGGGACUGACCAUGCCAGACUGGUGGCCAAAUAAAGAAGGUACUGACCUCGGUCCCUUCGGAACUUGUCUUACAGAGAAGCCUUAAGUCCCCUUGUCUGUUUUGUCUUUCACGUUUUGGUAAGAGGCUUGGCCAAAGAGUCUUGGUGUCAAAAGUCCCAGCCCUGGGGUGGCACUUCUAUACCGCCUUUUUGAAUGACUGCUUGGCCAGGCGUGUGUGUGUGUGUGUGUGUGUGUGUGUGUGUGUGUUUGUGUGUGCGCGAGUGUGUGUGAGUGUGUGAUCUGGUGUGUCUGUUGAGAGAGAUGUAUAGGUGUGCCUGUGUGCUGUAACACCGGGAGGCAAAGGAAAGGCCCAUGGUGUCCCUUUCUGUUACUAGGAGCAUCUAGGCAGGUCAGAAUGCAGGCCACAUCAAAGACCCAGACCAAGCCUUAGAGUGAGGCCUGAGGGUAUGUUCUUCUGUUCACCAGGGUCACUUAGUGUCACUGAUAACUCAGCAGCUGACCUUGGCUCUUCCCUGUCACUCUUACUGUUCCUAGCCCCCAGCAUACUCCUUGGCACACAGUAAGCACUUAAUAAAUGUAUGACAAGAAUGACUACGAA
rnacentral:lncRNA from 1 species